rnacentral:rRNA from 1 species
UCCUGGCUUAGAAUGAACGCUGGCGGCAUGGAUUAGGCAUGCAAGUCGAACGAGAAAGCGGUUCGGCCGCGAGUAAAGUGGCGAAAGGGUGAGUAACACGUGAGGAACCCGCCCCCCAGUCCGGAACAAUCCUGUGAAAACGGGCCUGAAACCGGAUGCCGGCCCGCCCCGCAUGGGGCGGCGCCGAAACAUUUAUGGCUGGAGGAUGGCCUCGCGCCCCAUUAGCUUGUUGGCGGGGUAACGGCCCACCAAGGCGACGACGGGUAGGUGGUCUGAGAGGAUGGUCACCCACACUGGGACUGAGACACUGCCCAGACUCCUACGGGAGGCUGCAGUCGAGAAUCUUCCGCAAUGGGCGCAAGCCUGAACCGGAGCGAUGCCGCGUGAGGGAAGUAGGCCUUCGGGUCGUGAACCUCUGUCGACGGGGACGAACGCAAUGACGGUACCCGUCAAGAAAGCCACGGCUAACCACGUGCCAGCAGCCGC